rnacentral:misc_RNA from 1 species
GUCUGUGUGACAAGGAGGAAGGGAAAGCGUGGAGAAGUCUUAACCCUCGCAACCUUCCCUCUAGCAAACGAAUCUGUGAUCAAAUUCCCCAAUUUCUAAUGGCCUCUGGAUUUAGCGGCGAUGAAACAGCGCCGUUCUUCGGCUUCCUUGGUGCUGCCGCUGCCCUUGUUUUCUCUUGCAUGGGAGCUGCUUAUGGGACUGCCAAGAGCGGUGUUGGAGUUGCCUCAAUGGGUGUGAUGAGACCGGAGCUUGUGAUGAAAUCAAUAGUUCCCGUAGUCAUGGCUGGAGUUCUCGGUAUCUAUGGAUUGAUCAUUGCUGUUAUUAUUAGCACUGG